AUUAUAGGCAUACUUUAGAAAACUGUGUAUAAAAUGGCUAUAGACAAUAAAGCAUAGAUUCCCAGGACUCGUGGAUUUUGAUAAUUACCUUUUAUUGUUGGGCUGCAUUUAGUAAUUAUGUUUAUUUUAAUUAUCAUAAGAAAUGUUUGUAAAAACAUACCUUAAAAUUUAUAUUAUUAAGUAGUACUGACUGGCAUAUACUAAACUAUUAAUUUAGUAACAUAUUGAAGAGAAGAGAAAUUAAAUCAAAGGAGACCUAGCAUAAAACAUGCCCACACUAGAAAAUAUGAUGUGGAAUGUGCACUCAGUGAAGAUCUGUCAGCAGACACAGACCCUUCAAGUAGAAUAUUCAUUGUUGCUUCAUACAUGAUUUGGAAAUGAAAUCCUCACAAUAUUGGUAAUUUGCUUCUACAUAGUUUUAUUCACUUAAAUAUGGUUUUGUCUUUAAAUGAUAAGUAAUUCAGUUAAAUAAUCUUCAAGUGCUUUCUUCAUUUUCACAAAGGUCAUACACCUGUGAUCAUAGAAUGAGUAUAUGAUUCCUGUAUUCAUUGUUUUUAUCUAUCUCCUGAUGAACAAUCUCUCUGGUUUUCCUGAAUUAAACUUUUGCCAAAUAGUAAUACCACAUCUUUAUUAUUAUUAUUAUUAUUAUUAUUAUUAUUAUUAUUCAUGUUUGGUCAGGUCAUCCUUGGUACCCCAUAAUCAGAUCUUACUUUUCAAGCAUGAAUUCCAUUAUUAAUAUUUAAAUAAGAAAUAGAAACUCACACAUGAAGCACUUAUACUGUAUUUAAUAAGAAAACAAAUGAUCUGCAGAUUUAUAAACCAUCUAUGUUCAUAAUUGUUUCUCAAAUAUAAGAAUAUUUUUAUUAUAUUCUAACAGAUUUUAUGAUAAAUAAAAGCUAUAUUCUAAGACAAUUAUUUAUUUUAGUCAUUUAUUUAAAUUUAUUUUUGUAUUUAGCAACAAGGUUUCAUAUUGCCCAGGGUGAAUUUGAACUCCCUGUGCAGCUACAGAUGACACUGAAACCUAGCGUUCCUGUCUUAUGCACCAUUUGAGUAUUGGGAUUACAAGCUUUCCAGUUUAUAUGUUGGGAGGAAUCAAUACAGAACUCUUUUUUUUUUUUUUUAGACAAAUCCUCUGUGUCAUAUCAUGUAAAGUAGCUUAUUUAGAUUUUAGAUGGCUUUAUGCAUACUGUUACUUUUUAGUUAAUUUUUAAUUAAACCAGUUAUCACUAAUCAAAUAAAAAUAAAAAUUAUCUCAAAUUUUUAUACUAAUCAAAAUUAUCUUCAAUUUCUGUUAAUUAGUCAAAUAAUCUAGAGUCAUACUGAGUUAUUCUGAGUAAUUUUUGUUGGUAGCCUUUCCUACUAUAAUUGAGUAAAUUUUCUUCCUAAAUUUAGUAAGUGAAAAGCAAUUGGUAUCAUUGUAGAUGAUACAAUGAUGUAGAGUCUAUAUGUUUUCCCUUAAAUAUGAAAUUUUCUCUCUGUCUUGUUUUGUACUUUUCCUUUUCAGAUUAGCUAGUGACUAGUGAGAACUUAUAUAUCACACAACAAAAUGAUAUUCAAGAUGGCAUAAUGCUACAAGUUUCAAUGGACUUGUCAAAAUAACACUUGUUUUGCACAUGGCAUUUAUUCAUCAGAAAGUAGAAUGAGUUCAUUAUUCCACUUUGCACCCUGUUUAAAAGCUGCUUCAAGAUCUCAGUAGAUAAAACUAUGUUUUGUAGGAUGUGAAUGUCUAUUGUUUUAGUGGACUACCUUCAUUAAUAUACUGACUUUGUAAGAUUGCAUAUGUGCAUGUAUAUAUCUAUGAAUUAUACAAGUUUGUUAGUUAAACAGGAAGAAUAAAUUUAAUGGCAUUCUUUUUUGUCCACCUAUUGUCCUGGAACUCUGCUAGGUGGAUAGUGCCUCUUUAGGAAGCUAAGACAAUUUAAAAUCUCCUCCUAUUACUCAAUG
rnacentral:lncRNA from 1 species